GGUCUUGCUAGUGCAGCGGUAGCACGCGCUCCUGGUAUGGGUGAAACGCGGGUUCAACUCCCGUCAAGGUCG